GGUUACUUAGUUUAUUAAAAAUGUAGGUUUUGUAAGUCUAAGAGGAUAAUUAUCAGUGACCU
rnacentral:tRNA from 1 species